CCCACGCCGGCCGCCGCCCCUCGACCUACCUGCAUCCUGGAGUGCCGCCCCUCACCAGUCACCACUCACGUACGAUCCUCCGUCCUGGAAGGCCGCCCCUCAGGCCCUCACCACUCCCCCUGCGAUCCUCCAUCCCUGCGCGCCGUCGCUAGUCAACACUCCCCUGCGACCUGCUUCAUGUCGUGCCGUCCCUCUCGUCACCGCUCCCCUUUGACGACCAACUGCAUCUACUACCUCCGCACGAGGGCCUGCGGCUACGGGCAGAGUUACGACUACAACCACCCUCGCGAUCGCGCUACCGUGUCCCUGAUUAUGACCGACAGGUUGAAUAGAUGGUUGGUGCGGAGGGGAGCUUCUAGCUGAAGCAUCUUGCUGUGAUUAAACUGAUUUUAGUUAUGGCUUAGGAGCCUGUCACAAGCCCAUUGCAAGUAUGUGGCAUGCAAGCAGAGGAGAGGAUGACCUUGACAAUUACCAAUUCUACCUUAUAAUUUAUCUAACAAGAUUCAAAGGAUAAAUGGAUGAUUAUAUGGGUGUGUGGCAAGUAUACUGCAAAGAUGAUGAUGAUGAUGAUGAUGAUGUCCUGUUCAGGAUGAUGAUGAUGGAUGCUUCAGUUUUGGUUAAGUUUCAGGGAUGAUGUUCUUGUUGGAUGAUGUUCCUCGGUUAACUUUUAGAUUAGUUGUACAGAUAUUGAUGGAUGCUUUUAGUUUAAGUUCCUCUGUCAAGAAAAUAUUAGGAUUAUGCAUCACAUUAGGAUGAUGUUCCUUGUGUAAUAUCCACUAUUGUAAUCCAACAUUUUUAUCUAAUAUAUGAGUUCUUCC